rnacentral:rRNA from 1 species
GCAUAUCAAUAAGCGGAGGAAAAGAAACCAACAGGGAUUGCCCUAGUAACGGCGAGUGAAGCGGCAACAGCUCAAAUUUGAAAUCUGGCCUCGGCCCGAGUUGUAAUUUGCAGAGGAUGUUUCUGGCGCGGUGCCUUCCGAGUUCCCUGGAACGGGACGCCACAGAGGGUGAGAGCCCCGUAUGGUUGGACACCAAGCCUGUGUGAAACUCCUUCGACGAGUCGAGUAGUUUGGGAAUGCUGCUCAAAAUGGGAGGUAAAUCUCUUCUAAAGCUAAAUACCGGCCAGAGACCGAUAGCGCACAAGUAGAGUGAUCGAAAGAUGAAAAGCACCUUGAAAAGGGGGUUAAACAGUACGUGAAAUUGUUGAAAGGGAAGCACUUGUGACCAGACUUGUGCCGGGCGGUUCAUCCGGGGUUCUCCCCGGUGCACUCCGCCCGGUAUAGGCCAGCAUCGGUUCUUUCUGGGGGAUAAGAACGGUGGGAACGUGGCCCUCCCUCGGGAGGGUGUUAUAGCCCGCCGUACGAUACCCUGGAGGGGACCGAGGUUCGCGCUCCGCAAGGAUGCUGGCGUAAUGGUCACCAGUGACCCGUCUUGAAACACGGACCAAGGAGUCGUCCAUUAGAGCGAGCGUUUGGGUGUCAAACCCGCACGCGUAAUGAAAGUGAAAUUAGGUGAGAGCUUCGGCGCAUCAUCGACCGAUCCUGAUGUUCUCGGAUGGAUUUGAGUAAGAGUUUUAACGGACGGACCCGAAAGACAGUGAACUAUGCUUGUAUAGGGUGAAGCCAGAGGAAACUCUGGUGGAGGCUCGCAGCGGUUCUGACGUGCAAAUCGAUCGUCAAAUAUGAGCAUGGGGGCGAAAGACUAAUCGAA